GUUAAAAAGCUCGUAGUUGGAUUUCUGUUGAGGAUGACCGGUCCGCUCUUUGAGCGCGUAUCUGGUUCAGCCUUGGCAUCCUCUUGGGGAACGCUACUGUGCUUGAUUGCAUGGGGCGGUGUUCAAGACUUUUACUUUGAGGAAAUUAGAGUGUUCAUUGCAAGCGUUAGCAAUUGAAUACAUUAGCAUGGAAUAAUAAUAUAGGACCUUGGUACUAUUUUGUUGGUUUCUAGAACUAAGGUAAUGAUUAAUAGGGACAAUUGGGGGCAUUCGUAUUAACGCGUCAGAGGUGGAAUUCUUAGAUUGCGUUACGACGAACUACUGCGAAAGCAUUUGCCAAGGAUGUUUUCAUUGAUCAAGAACGAAAGUAUGGGGAUCGAAGACGCUUAGAUACCGUCGUAGUCUAUACCAUAAACUAUGCCAACUAGAGAUUGGAGGUCGUUCUCUUUAUGACUCCUUCAGCACCUUAUGAGAAAUCAAAGUCUUUGGGUUCCGGGGGGAGUAUGGUCGCAAAGCUGAAACUUAAAGGAAUUGACGGAAGGGCACCACCAGGAGUGGAGCCUGCGGCUUAAUUUGACUCAACACGGGAAAACUUACCA
rnacentral:rRNA from 1 species